ensembl:lncRNA
GCUCCAUAAAUUCUGUAUUGCUAUCUGUGCAGAACUUGGUUUCCAGGGGAAGAAGUUAUUUUCCAGCGAUGUAACUACUAGCAGUAUGGCAGCAUCUGGAAUUUGAGAUCAAGGUGUGAUCAGAGCUCUCCUAGAGGCUGGCAGCUCUACACCCCUGUUCAUUGCUGAUGUUGUGAUCUUGACAGAGGCAAGCCAUAGUGCUCUGCUGGUAGCAUCAUACAGCAGUUCCCACCAGCCCAGCCAGCACACGCUGACACUGUAGGACAGCCUGGCUUUUUGGAACCAAAGAUGAGAGGAAAAAAAAAAAAGAAAAAGGAAAAACAAAGAUACAAAGAGAGAAAAGGAAAAAGGGAAUGAGAAAGAGGAAAAGAACAAGGAAAAGAAAAAAGGAAGAGAAAAGGAAGAGAAAAAAAGAGAGAAAGAAAGAACGAACAGCGCAAUCAGGUUUUGGUGCUGUUUUAAGAUUUCCUUGAACUCAUGACUCUGUGUCUGUUCUCUACAAAUAUAAGAGCUACACCUUUCCUCUCCUCACCUUUUCCGCCUAGCAGAUACUCUUCAUUCUUCAUCUCACCUCUCGUCUACUUAUCUCAAGCUUCAGUUUUGCAUACCUCAUGGACCCACCCAAAAGUUGUCAAAUUUCAUAGGCAAUCCUCAGUUCCACAUAUUCACCCAAGAGCUUCCAACCAAGGUAUCCUUCUUUGCAAUCAUUUUUUUUUUCCUUCUCAUUAACUAUUUUGUCAUCUUCCAUAGCAUUUCUUGUCCCCUACAUUUUCAGUAUCACACACGUAUUUGCCCUUUAAAUAUAAACGUAAAACCUGGUCUAAAAAGAACUUGACGUGUUGUACAGGAUGGACUAUGAGACCAAAGUUAUUGCAACAUGUCUAUCAAUAAAAAUUGUCUGUCUGAUUAAAUGCUUUUGGAAUGUUGAUUGUCAUUGAAAUAAUCUCCUUAAACUUAAAAAAAUUAAACAUUUUAAAAU